AUGUCGACGGCGGCUGCAUCUAGGCCCAGCGGCCCUGUCCUUCUGAGCCCCUUUCCCAACUACCAAUCCGCCUCGCUCUCCCGUGUCAUGCUCUCCGGCGGCGGCUCGCCGGUCAAGUCCGUCAGCGUCUCGUCUCCCCCCUCCUCUCCCGUGGGCGGCGCCGCCAAGAUCCGUCGGUCCUGCAUGUGCUCCCCGACGAACCACCCGGGCUCGUUCCGCUGCAGCCUCCACAAGGAGCGCAAGCAGAGGGCCCCCGCCGCCGUCGGCAGCUACAGCAUGCCGAUCUUCCCGCCUUCGCCGCCGUCC
rnacentral:rRNA from 1 species